rnacentral:misc_RNA from 1 species
UUUAGAGGAAGUGAAAGUCGUAACAAGGUUUCCGUAGGUGAACCUGCGGAAGGAUCAUUUCCGAAAACAACUCUUACAAACCAAUCUUGUGAAAUGUUUUGGGUUUUUUACUCCGAGAGGUAGGGCUUAGUUGCUGUAAUAGUGGUAACACCAGUAGUGCCAGUGGGUAUCUACAGUUGCCCUCCUAUUAUGCAAUGCUUGACGCCCUACUCCUCUCGGAGGCCAUGAUGAACUACCUUCGGGUUGAUGGUAUCGUUCCUUCUCCAUGUUGUUUAAUACAACAAAAGAAAUAAAAUGAUACGACAACUUUUAACGGUGGAUCUCUUGGCUCGU